UACACUCAGUGAUCUCAUUUUUAAUUUCUUUUGCUGAGGCAAUUGGGGUUAAGUGACUUGCCCCCAGGGUCACACAGCCAGAACGUGUUAAGUGUCUGAGGUCAUAUUUGAACUCAGGUCCUCCUCACUUCAGAGCUGGUGCUCUAUCCACUGCACUACCUAGCUGCCCCUCAUCUUUAAUUUCUAAUUGCUUGUUGGGCUUCUUCAAAUUUAGCAUGUCUAAAACUGAACUCGUUUUUUUUUUUUUUUUUUUUAUCUUAAGAAUUCCUCUCUCUUUAACUUGUCUUUUUCUAUUCCAUCAUGCAGGCUUGUAACUUUGAAGUCAUCUUUGACAUCUCCCUCUUCUCCCCCCUCCUGUAAAUCUAGAUUGUUACAAUGGAAGUAGGAAGGAGGAGCCAAAUAUGAUGAGAAAGUUAAGAUCCAGGGAAGUGAAAUGAUUGUUCAAAGUCACACAGGGCUAAAUGAAGAUUGGGCCAAGCUGACUGCACCUAUGGAGUCAAUCACUUCUAAGUGGAUAUGACAGAGAAUUGAUGGAAUGCUAAUAGAGAGUAGAGCAAGAGCUGUUAUGGGGACAACUGGAAGGAAAGGGUCAAGGAUCCCUCAGUAAUUACAAAACUUCAAUUUGCCAAGGAACC